GGUGGUGGCUCAGUGGUAGAGCACCUGCUUAGCAUGCAGGAGGUCCUGGGUUCAAUCCUCAGCACCUCCA
rnacentral:tRNA from 1 species